CUCUUGCUUUGUUCUCAGCCGAGCAACUAAACCAACAAUUCUUUCUUAAUGCCAUACCACUUUUCUUUCUUCUCUUCCUUCACCCACUUGUGCUUGACAAAUUCCAUCAGCUGGACACUGGUGGUUGGCUUAAUUGGAUUGAUUGGGAAAAUAAAGAUUUUUGAACAAAGGGUUUUUGCGGAAAUUCAUCAAAAUGGAUUGUAGAGGGUGUAAAU
rnacentral:misc_RNA from 1 species